rnacentral:sRNA from 1 species
CCUCUCUCGUACAAAAAUUCUGGUCAAACUGAAUGGAGCUAUUAUAAGGUAAUCCUUUUUAUUUUGAGACAAUCGAAAUUUUUGCUAUAAAUAACUAUUGUAGAAAGCGACCUCAUAGAUAAUAGGAAUAAAGUGAAGAACGUUAGAUUCUGUGAGUAAUUUCUUGUGCAAACUAUGAUAACACUAGGUAGUAAUA